ensembl:snRNA U2 U2 spliceosomal RNA
AUCACUUCUCAGUCUUUUGGCUAAGAUCAUGUGUAGUAUCUGUUCUUAUCAGUUUAUAUGUUUGGUUUUAAGAGCUUCACCUUGAUAGACAUUAAGAGAAAUGAGCUCAAAAUGAUUUGGUCCCCUA